rnacentral:rRNA from 1 species
UACGGGGGGGCAAGCGUUGUUCGGAAUUACUGGGCGUAAAGGGCUCGUAGGCGGCCAACUAAGUCAGACGUGAAAUCCCUCGGCUUAACCGGGGAACUGCGUCUGAUACUGGAUGGCUUGAGUUUGGGAGAGGGAUGCGGAAUUCCAGGUGUAGCGGUGAAAUGCGUAGAUAUCUGGAGGAACACCGGUGGCGAAGGCGA